GGAGCUUUGGGAAAGGGCAUGCAAGCUGCUCCUCAGCUUUCCCUGUGGGACCCCAGUCUACUACUUCUCCCUAUACCUCCUCCUUAUGCUCCUUCUUUCUUCCCAUAAACCCCCAGAGUCUCAGUACCCCUGGACCAACCCUGUCCCAUCCACGAGGCACCAGCCAUCCCACAAACCUGGGGUCCUCCUCCCUAAACACCACAGAGAUACACUGGACUCCGUACCGGGCCAUGUACCAGUACAGACCCCAGAAUGAAGAUGAGCUGGAACUUCGUGAGGGAGACCGUGUGGAUGUCAUGCAGCAGUGUGAUGAUGGCUGGUUUGUGGGUGUCUCCCGGAGAACUCAGAAAUUUGGGACAUUCCCUGGAAAUUAUGUAGCCCCGGUGUGAAUGGUCUCCAUGGCAGUAUGGAGCCAACGAGGAUCGGGUGGGGAGCAGUAGCACUAUGGGAGGGAGAGAGGCCCUCCAUAUCCUCCUCCCCCAGGACCUAUGCUCCCAGCUUCUGCAGAAACCCCAGCAACUUUUCCUCCAAGCCUCCUUGAAGUCCCCUGGACUGAUUCCCACCCGCAAGUCACAGGCAUUCCUUUGACAGCCCCCUUCACCGCCCCUCAAAUACAGACAUCUGCUUUC
rnacentral:lncRNA from 1 species